rnacentral:rRNA from 1 species
AGAUUGAACGCUGGCGGCAUGCCUUACACAUGCAAGUCGAACGGUAGAGUAGCAAUACUUGAGAGUGGCGAACGGGUGAGUAAUAUAUCGGAACGUGCCCAGUCGUGGGGGAUAACGUAGAGAAAUUUACGCUAAUACCGCAUACGAUCUAAGGAUGAAAGCGGGGGACCGUAAGGCCUCGCGCGAUUGGAGCGGCUGAUAUCAGAUUAGGUUGUUGGUGAGGUAAAAGCUCACCAAGCCGAACGAUCUGUAGCUGGUUUGAGAGGACGACCCGCCACACUGGAACUGAGACACGGUCCAGACCUCUACGGGAGGCAGCAGUGGGAAUUUUGGACAAUAGGGGGAAACCCUGAUCAGCCAUCCCGCGUGUGGCGAUAGAAGGUCCUUCGGGUUAGGUAAA